UUCGGUACCUAGUGGCGCACGGGAGAGUAACACGUGGAUAAUCUCCCCUCGAGAGACGAAUAACUAGUCGAAAGAUUGGCUAAUACGUCGUAAGACCACAGAGGCUAAUGCCUCAGAGGUAAAAGUCGUAAGACGCUUGAGGAUGAGUCUGCGUCCCAUUAGCUAGUUGGUGAGGUAAAGGCUCACCAAGGCUUCGAUGGGUAGCUGGUCUGAGAGGAUGAUCAGCCUCACUGGAACUGACACACGGUCCAGACUCC
rnacentral:rRNA from 1 species